rnacentral:lncRNA from 1 species
GUCAAUUAUUUCUCUCUUCUCUCGUGGGAUGCACACCCCCAAACUUGAUUUUGUAACUAUUUUUCCAAGGUGUGAUUUAUGGUUAAAUUUAUAUACUAUUAUUCACCCUCUCUAGUUUGGUUAGAUUUUACUAAUUGUAGCUCAACACAUCAAUAAAUGAGGAUUCUUCUUAAUUUUGACUGACUCAACCUCCAAGAAUCAACUAAGCUAC